rnacentral:lncRNA from 1 species
UCAAAAGUUUAAAAAAAAAAUUAAAAAUAUGUAAAACGUUAAAAAAAAAAUCCAAAAAAUUAUUGGCAAAAUUAAAAGGAAAAGAAAGGAAAGAAUAGUGUUUUUGUUUUGUUUUGUAAUAUUGCAACUUCAAGGCAGUUGGACACAGCACAUCAGUUAAUAGUCGAUUGGACCAUGUCUGACCCUGAUUUAGACCUUCAUGAAUCUUAUCAGACUGGAAACGCUUCAAGUUUGAUUUUUGUGUUGUAGACAAGCCUACAUGCCUACCUAAUGGAUAACUAGCAAGACGUUAAUUUUGCUGACUUACGAUAUGUUUCGGCAUUGAGCAUUCUCUUAAUAAGUCGGGCUCGAUCACAUUGGUAUCCUUACAUGUGACCAUAAUUUGGAACUUCAAAAAAUUGAAUUGAUUGACAAGAAAAAUCAGCAACUCCAAAUCUGGGCAUCCAAUGAGCCACUGAACCAACACGCUCACGGUUGCCUGUUCAAAGGUUGUCUUCCUGCCUCUCUGCCAAUGUAUUGGGUGUGGAGGCCAGUGUGUGGCAGGCAUACCAGGAAAAAACUUCUGUAGCGGAGACAGCCAAUAAUUGCUUCGAAUCUUCAAACCACACGGAGUGUUAUUGUUAGCCUGGCAGGGGCAAGAUCAUGGCCUGCUGUCUCCUGUGCUGUGGUGGUGAUUUUCUGUUCAUGGAUGUGACUGCUGCCAUUGCCAUUAUCCAGACCAAGAACAGCAUCAAGUUUGUCGAUUAGUUGACCUAUUGUGUUUAAGACCAGUGUAGUUUGUAAUGGCUUGGAGUCACUGAUGGAGAGUUGAUGGAGAGUUCCAUGCUAUUACUCAUCAAGUUGAGGAGGACUGAGCUAGGUCUCUAUCACCUCCAGCUUAUUCUUUGGCCCCUGAGAAGGCCAGGAUUGAUUCACCGGAUACUCAGACCUCGGUGACGUCCCGCGCAGUUGUCACGUCCAGUAUGCAGCAACGCUGUACCAGUUGGGGCGCCUCACUGAGUUGAAGACUGAGCUGGUACACAAGACUAUCCAGCUUACCCUUGGGCUUCGUGACAGAAGUCUUCGACUGCUCCGCUGAAGUCGUACAUGAGGCGUUCAAUUUCCUGGAAUUCCCUGUACAUCCCGCUGGAAGGAGGUCCUCGUUGCCGUCCCGCGCAGCAAUCACGGCAUUCCGCAUGGCUUGCAGGACAGCCCGACUGUAGCGCUCGACGUUGGCCUCCAAUUCAGCCCUGGAAGCAGAAUGGGCGGCGGCCGCCGCCGUGGCCAGCCGACCCCGCUUGACCUGGUUGUCCAGAGUGGACUGCAGGGCUGCGUCUAGGUCGGCGGGCGCCUCGCCUGGGACCGGCAGCUCACUCAAGAUUGUCCCGCAGUAGGCUCUUAGGUAUCUUGCAAACGUGUUGUAGUUGGCUACAUGCGGGACAGAAGACAUUGUGAUUGAAUUGGCGGCACACUCGGAUGUGGAUUGCCUUGUGCCGGAAGGAGUUGAGAGGGGUGGCACAAAACUCGCAUCGUAUUUUUCCUGGUGCAGUGGCAUAUCCGGGCUGGUUGGCGGUGGGCAUCCACUGCCCCUUGGCACCAGUGACAUCCAUCUCGCGGGUGGCAAUUAGCUCAUACACAGCUGCAACAUGCGCCUAGUUCCAUGACCUGGAUGCCGGGGAAGUCAUUAAAGGUCAUUUCUUGGCGCAGCUGGUAUGACAGGUGGGCGGAGCGUCCUACAAGAAGAAAGAACUGUUCAGCAACAUCACUAAGUAACAGUGAAAGGCUCAUGCUUUGACAAAGCCGUUUGUUGAACACCCAUCCUUAAACCUUAAUCUUGGACGGACAUGCCUUAUGAAUAUGAUUUGCUCUGACACUUCAGCGGCAAGACUAUGCCUUUAUGGUUCGUCACUGCAGUGAUAAAGUGGCAGCUCACAAGCCGCUAGGCCGUUGUUUUGCAUGGCCUGCUUCUUCAUGAGUGGAAAAGUGUCUGUUCCUGAAAUGUGCAGCACCGUAUUGACAUUUGGACUUCAAUGGUCUCUGACUUCCGAGUGAAAUUAUUUGUUUUUGCUGUGGUGGUCAAAACACAAAUAUCACUUGGUAGCUCUACUAAAUUUGUGUCUAUGGUGGUUUGAAACUCAAAUGGAAAGGAGCUGAAGCUUUAAUUACUGCUGAUCCUCUACGAGAUGCCAAAACUCAUUAGUCCCUGGUCUCAACAACCUGGCCAGGUCACUAUGGCAUUUGUGCACUGGUUUGUUGGAGACGUGUGGGAGGAGGUGACUGGGCUGCUUUAUGGAAGGAAUGUGGAAAGGUCAGCAUCAACAGAGUUGAUGAUGAUUAUGAAGGUGGUGGUGAGGAGUAUUGAAGACCAACUGGUUGUGGUCCUGAUCCACUUCAUGUCUGAAGAAAUCCUACCUGUAAUACGCUGUGGAGACGAUAUGGAGUCAGUUUGCGUUUUGUAACCAACCAUUUGAGGGGCCGCUCUGUCUGCUAAUGAGUUAUUUCACAAUUCAAACUGCAUUGAAAUGCCAGCCAUUCUAUUGUGCCAGCCAUUCUGUGGAAGGUCUGAUUAUGACAUGGAAGACCCUCUGAGUUCAAGAUGUUGCUGAUACCUCAUGGGGAGCUUGGGGAUGUAUCUAAAUAUCCAACUUCAAUGCUGAGAAAACCGGUAUUUGGAUGUGAUGUCCAUGGAAGCUAGAUCAAUGAAGUGGUGGCAAUUCUUGAUACUGUGACAACGUAUUUUCUCGUUGGUGGUGGUAUUAACACCUCAUCAUUUUGUGAGGUUACGAGCUUACUUCAUAGUGAUCAUUUAUGUUGAGGCAGCUGUAGUACAUUUGUUCGCAAAUCGAAAGAGGCUGAAAUUUCUGUUGGUGAUUCUCAACAAGGUGCCAAAGCUCAUUGAGUUCUACGAGACGUCCUGCUCAGCUAUAACGGGGUAACUUUCAAUUCAAAUUGCAUUGAAAUGCCAGCCAUUCUAUUAGAAGUCUGUGGAAAGUCUGAUUACGACAUUAAAGAUCCUCUGAGUUCAAGAUGUUGUUGCUAACAGGGUGCUAGGGGACCUAAAUAUCCAACUAAAAUGCUGAGAAGAGUGGGAUCUGGAUGUGAUGCCCAUAGAAGCUAGAUCAAUUAAGUGGUGAAAUUGUUUGAUACUGUGACAACUUUUUGUUUUCAAUGAUGGUGGUUUAACACCUUAUCAUUUUGGCAUGUUGCAUGCCCACUUCAUAGUGAGUUUUUAUUUGUCCUGUUGGUUGUGGUGCUGAAAACACCAAUAUCAUUUAAAGAGGUAGCUCUAGUACAUUAGUGCUCACAUGGUGUGAAACUCAGAUGGAAAGAAGUUGAAGUUUCUGUUGCUGAUCCUCUACUAGAUGGCAAAACUCAUUGAGUUCCACAAGUUGGAUUUUAUGUAUGCCAAGCAAGCAUUUGUGUCCUUAUGUUGGAGAGGGUGUGGAAGAAAGUGACUUAGGAGCUUGCCUAGACUUGCCUGCUAUAUGGGAGGAAUAUGGACAGUUGGCAUGAACAGUGUUAAGGACAAAGGUGUGCGUAGUGGGAAGAUCUGUUCUUGGACGGACAUGCCUUGAAAGUGAUUUGCUCUGACACUUCAGCGGCAAUACUAUGGGCCUGCUUGUUCAUGAGCGGAAAAUUGUCCGUUCCUCAAAUGCGCAACAUGAUUGUCAUUUGGACAUAUAUGGCUCCUCAUUAGUCAGCUUGCAAUUGCUGAGCCAUCGACCAGUUUGAACGUCCGGUUUGAUUUGACUUAUGCCGAGCAAACAUUUGUGCACUGGGACGUUGUAGUGUGGACAAGAGGCUUGUAGAGACUAUCUGCCAUGGAGAAGAAUUAAAAAGUUGUCUGACAAUGUUAGCAGAGGGGGUGGUGAUGAAGACCAUCAGAGAGACCCUCUCAAAAAUCUGUCAAAUGUCUGGUUUUGAUGUUGAAGAACUUCAAGCUGAACAUAUUCCUAAAUAUGUCAAAAGCAACGAAAGAUCCUCUGACAGCAGCCCGACAGCCUCAAUGUUCAAAGAAGUUACAAUAACUGAUUAAUUAGGGCAGAAGGCUUCGUCAUUUGAAUCAAAUGGCAUACUCAGAUUAUGAUGGGUAAAUAUGUGCAUGUAUUUACCAUAUCAGGUGCCAUGCUGGUCAAGAGAGGGGACACUUCAGUGAACGCUGCACUUCAGAGUUGGGCACAGUGAAGCAGUGAGAUGCAAGUCACCCAAGAGUGGAGUCCUGCCUGUGGAGUCCUUCGAUCCAAUCUGAGAAGAGAGUGGUGGAUGCAUCACGUUGACCAGUUUGUCAAGCCACUUCCUUGACCAGUAUUUGUUGUUCUAUUGUGAGUAAGAGUAUAUCCUAGUACUGUAUAUUCUGAGAGUGGCGGACAAGGGUUAAAAGUGCCCUUGCCUAAACUGCACUUUUGUGCACUGGAUGAGGAUGUUCAAUAUUACGUUAAUCUUCUGAAGCAAUUGCAUUAUGAGCUUGCACUUAGUUAUUAUUGUGUUUGGUAAGAGGUGUGUUCAAUACUGGCUCUUGUCUAUUGACAAUGGCUUUUGACUAGGUUUCUAAAUUCUAGAGCUGUUGCUCUUAGAUUUGAUCUUCUAAUUCUUGAUGGUAUCUUGCCCAAAAUUCCCUCCGGAUCAGUCUUUACUCGGAAACUCCUACUCAAAUUUUGUUGUGUUCGUUGUAGUUAACCAUAUUCAAACAGAGUCAAAUUUACAAAUAUUGACAGUUCGUCCCGAUGUCCUUGAUCUGCUGAUGUUUAGCAGAACAGCAGGUUCAUUUUGCGACACUUUUCCACCCAACGUGAGCAUUAUAGUACGGAAAAUUCACAUCAGUCCAUUUUCCUUUCCAUCAUUCGAAACCCUUAAGAACAGUCUAGUAUUCAUGUCUUGUUUCUUAGUGCCCAUUCCAAGAGUGUUCAAGCCUUUCUCAAUUUCUCGCCUUCAAAGAGAAGCACGUUGGUUGUUACAACGCUUUAAUUUUAGGAUACAUAGAGUUUGGUUGACUCGCUUGUCUUAAACUUAAUGAUAGUAUCCGUGUGAAAGGGCGCCAUUUCUCAUGGAUACUCUUGACAAAUUUUUUGGAAGAACAUGAAGCUGUGUUGGGGAUGUAUGAAUGAAUGUAUGAGCUAGUCUGAUUACAAGUAUGUAUGAUAACAUGUGUGAGAGAAAUGGUGGUGGUUUUAUAGUCGCACAGCUUGGGGCCCCCUGUGUUUAGAUGGUGGCAUUUUGUGUGUUUUGUAUUUUGUGUGCUUCAAUGUUCUUCUAAAAAUUUGUUUGAAAACUGCGAGUUGAAGUAGUAGUUAGGCAGGCGCGGAUUCAGAGGAGGGGAAUAGGACUAAUUAUCCUGAGGUAGCUUAGGUAGCUUCGGACUCAAAGGUAGCUUACUAGGAAGGCCGCCUGGAAGAUAGGCAACAAGCACUAUUUAGCCCCUGUAAGCAGGCAACAAGUACUGCUUCUUCACCCCC